CUGGAGGUAUCAGAAGUGCGAAUGCUGACAUAAGUAACGAUAAAGCGGGUGAAAAGCCCGCUCGCCGGAAGACCAAGGGUUCCUGUCCAACGUUAAUCGGGGCAGGGUGAGUCGACCCCUAAGGCGAGGCCGAAAGGCGUAGUCGAUGGGAAACAGGUUAAUAUUCCUGUACUUGGUGUUACUGCGAAGGGGGGACGGAGAAGGCUAUGUUGGCCGGGCGACGGUUGUCCCGGUUUAAGCGUGUAGGCUGGUUUUCCAGGCAAAUCCGGAAAAUCAAGGCUGAGGCGUGAUGACGAGGCACUACGGUGCUGAAGCAACAAAUGCCCUGCUUCCAGGAAAAGCCUCUAAGCAUCAGGUAACAUCAAAUCGUACCCCAAACCGACACAGGUGGUCAGGUAGAGAAUACCAAGGCGCUUGAGAGAACUCGGGUGAAGGAACUAGGCAAAAUGGUGCCGUAACUUCGGGAGAAGGCACGCUGAUAUGUAGGUGAAGUCCCUCGCGGAUGGAGCUGAAAUCAGUCGAAGAUACCAGCUGGCUGCAACUGUUUAUUAAAAACACAGCACUGUGCAAACACGAAAGUGGACGUAUACGGUG
rnacentral:rRNA from 1 species